CUUGCUAAUAGUUAGGAUAAGAUAACUUUAUGCUUUAGUAACAAACAAUUCCUCAGUCUCGAUUGCUUAACACAAAGCACCACCUAACGAUGCCGUUUACAUGAAUUCUGUUGUAGAUGACUCUCUAUGCAACUGGCCUUCACGUGGUGACUCAAGAAGCAACCUACCCUAACCUGUUGAUACCCUCAUUUCAAAGGCUCUCAUGCUCACCGCAUUAGGGGAAGAAAUGCACUGGAGGGAUAUAUGGAAAAGGGGCUUUUCAAAGUCACAGUUCAGAUGCGGCAGUCACGAGGACUGUCUUCUCUUCCUCUCCAUUGUCAUCACUAGAGCUGCUGGUGGUCGCAAGGCCAUACUUCACAGGAGCUUCCUUCAGUGAGUUCUGCGAAGCUGAAGCAUUGAAUUUUGGCUCUUUCACUGCUUUUCUCCUUUGUAUAUUCACUAAAGAUGAACUUUCAGCAUCCUCACUUGAAGAUGCAUCAGAUGAUUCUGAGAGGCAGGUCUCCCCCAAAAAUCCACCACGUAGAUUCUUUCCUUUAGAAUCUGAAAGCCUCUUUCUUUUCAGGCUUGAUGACUCUUUCGAUGUAUUUGUUACGCCUCUUUUCUGGGUUUUUCCUUUUGCCUUAUCAAGUAUCUCAAAUUCUUUCUCCAUAGCAACAGAAACUGCUUCUAUUUCACUGGCUGCUGCUUCUCUCUCUUUCCUGAGCAUACAUGUCACAGCUCUGUUUAGUCUCUGGCUCAUAAUAGGCUAAGCAUCUUCUUUCUCCUGUUGUGCUAGUCUAAAGAAGGAGUCAAUUCAGAGCUCUGUCUGCUGGGCAUUGAGUUGCUUUAAUACAGGAAACAGAGAUUCAUCUGUCUUCGUUCUGUUCCAGCAGAAAUACCGCUGACAAAAUUCCCUAAUUUUGUAGAGAUCAGGUUUCCCCCACAGAAAUGAUCCCCGCGAGUCAUCCACCACAGGUUUGAGGUAGGCCUCGGCAAUAGCUGGAUUAGGAAAGCCAGCGGUGAGUUGCAAUGUCAGUAAUUUUUUUUUUUUUUUUUCACUUUGGUGUCAUGAGGAUUUGGCCUUAUCUUUGGAUUGUUUUGAGCUUCAUGCCACCAUUCCGAGAAUUUUAGGAGAGGUUCCGGGCCAUGCCCGGGAAAUUCACUGAGAAUUUCCAUGGCGGUUACACAACCCACAGUUGGUAUUCCUUCAGUAUAAUCACUUCCAAUCAAAUAGGCCAAAUUUAUUAACUCAUUCCGGUCCAAUCCUAAUUGAUUGUGAAAGUCCACAUAUUGGUGAUAUUCUACAAACUUGUUUUUAUUAAAAAAGUUUUUAAAGACAUGCCGUGCUCCAAACAGCCAGAUAUCACUGUCAUCAGUGAUGGUUCCAGAAGUCUGAUCAGUCAGGUCCAGGAUGGCACACUGUGCCUCUGCUUUCA
rnacentral:lncRNA from 13 species